rnacentral:rRNA from 1 species
UACGUAGGGCGCAAGCGUUGUCCGGAAUUACUGGGCGUAAAGCGUGCGUAGGCGGUUUGUUAAGUCUGUCGUGAAAGCCCCGGGCUCAACCUGGGAAUGGCGAUGGAUACUGGCGAGCUAGAGUACGGUAGAGGAGAGUGGAAUUCCCGGUGUAGCAGUGAAAUGCGUAGAGAUCGGGAGGAACAUCAGUUGCGAAGGCGGCUCUCUGGACCAGUACUGACGCUGAGGCACGAAAGCGUGGGGAGCAAACAGG